UACGUAGGGUGCAGGCGUUAAUCGGAAUUACUGGGCGUAAAGCGUGCGCAGGCGGUUUCUUAAGUCAGAUGUGAAAGCCCCGGGCUUAACCUGGGAACUGCGUUUGAAACUACAAGACUAGAAUAUGUCAGAGGGGGGUAGAAUUCCACGUGUAGCAGUGAAAUGCGUAGAGAUGUGGAGGAAUACCAAUGGCGAAGGCAGCCCCCUGGGAUAAUAUUGACGCUCAUGCACGAAAGCGUGGGGAGCAAACAGG
rnacentral:rRNA from 1 species